AAGGUAAACUCUGUUGAGGAGAUCUCCUCCCUUAAUGAUAAGGUUGACAUGAUCAUGACUUUACUUACUAUGAAAGCUCCUAUUGAUCCUCAUGAUGUUCCUUUAAAUUCUUUGGUUUCUCAAGAAAGAGAGCAAGUGGAUGUUAAUUUUAUUCCUAGGAACAACUUUAACAACAAUGCUUAUAGGAGUAAUUUUGGUAGCAAUCCUAGACCGUUCCCAUCCAGCAACUAUGGGAACAACAACAAUUAUCGUAGCACCAAAAACUCCACUUCUGAAUUAGAGAGCAUGCUUAAGGAUUUUAUCACUUCUCAAAAAGGCUUCAACAAGAGUGUAGAAGAGAAACUAGAGAAAUUAGAUAGUCUCUCUUUAAAGG
rnacentral:lncRNA from 1 species